rnacentral:miRNA from 1 species
UUUAAAGUCCACAACUCAUCAAGGAAAAUGAAAGUCAAAGUUGGCAGCUUACUUAAACUUAAUCACAGCCUUUAAUGUUGAUGAUGAUGGAACAAUGAGAUAAGUUAAUAUACCAUAUCUAUCUCAUUGUUCCAUCAUCAUCAGUACCUAAAGUGCCUAACAUCAUUAUUUAAUUUUUUUUUUUUUUGGCACACGAAUAACCAUGCCGUUUUGGAUCUUUUAAAGUCCACAACUCAUCAAGGAAAAUGAAAGUCAAAGUUGGCAGCUUACUUAAACUUAAUCACAGCCUUUAAUGUCAACAAAAUCUGAACACACAGGUAAGUUAAUAUACCAUAUCUACCUGUGUGUUCAGAUUUUGUUGGUACCUAAAGUGCCUAACAUCAUUAUUUAAUUUUUUUUUUUUUUGGCACACGAAUAACCAUGCCGUUUUGGAUCUUUUAAAGUCCACAACUCAUCAAGGAAAAUGAAAGUCAAAGUUGGCAGCUUACUUAAACUUAAUCACAGCCUUUAAUGUGGAAGAGGAGGCUGGUCAUAUUUAAGUUAAUAUACCAUAUCUAAAUAUGACCAGCCUCCUCUUCCGUACCUAAAGUGCCUAACAUCAUUAUUUAAUUUUUUUUUUUUUUGGCACACGAAUAACCAUGCCGUUUUGGAUCUUUUAAAGUCCACAACUCAUCAAGGAAAAUGAAAGUCAAAGUUGGCAGCUUACUUAAACUUAAUCACAGCCUUUAAUGUUCAGCCUCCUCCAUGAUAAAUGUAAGUUAAUAUACCAUAUCUACAUUUAUCAUGGAGGAGGCUGAGUACCUAAAGUGCCUAACAUCAUUAUUUAAUUUUUUUUUUUUUUGGCACACGAAUAACCAUGCCGUUUU